rnacentral:RNase_P_RNA from 1 species
CUUGCCGGAUGGGCAGUCGCCCGUUUUUACGGGAGGAAAGUCCGGUCUCCGCAGGGCGGCGUGCCGGCUAACGGCCGGGAAGGUCCGAAUCAAAGCGGGCUUUACGGAUAGUGCCACAGAAAAUAUACCGCCUGCCGGGAGGCUGCUGAAAAACUCCGCGCGUCGAGCUUUCUGUUCAUUCCGCCAGUCCGACGCCAUUUCGAGGGCCUGACGCUGUUCGCUGUCAGAUUCCAAUUUCAGCGUCAGGGUUUUUCAGCAGCUUCCCGGCGGGUAAGGGUGAAAAGGUGCGGUAAGAGCGCACCGCGGCCGGAGCAAUUCGGCUGGCAGGGUAAACCCCACGCGGAGCAAGACCAAAUAGGGGAGAAGGAGCGGCCCGCUCCGUUGGACUCUCGGGUAGGUUGCUAGAGUCAUCCAGUAAUGGAUGACCCAGAUGAAUGAUUGCCGCCCGCAAGGGCACAGAAACCGGCUUACAGUCCGGCAAGUUAC